GUUGUGUUUUUUUUUUUUUUCAUUAUAUAAGGAAUUUAAAAUCAUAACACAAUUGUGGACUGGUGUAGCAGUAACAGUGUUGAUGAACAGAGAGGAAUGUUAGACUCUUAGACUUUUGUUUUUUCAUUUUAAUUUUACUUUACUUUUUGUUUUAUUUUAUUGUUUUAUUAAUUGGGUGGAUUGCAGUUGUCGUACGUUCAUAUAUCAUACGCUGGCAAGCCAUCUUUGUAGCUGCAGUAAAACAUAAGAAAGAUAGUCUAGUGUCUUGGAUGAUGUUGUGAGCUGGAAAUGCAGUACGUUCUUUGCUUUGGAAGAACGAGCUUGCCAAAUAUGUGACGGUCUGCUAGGUGUGACGGUCUUCUGUUUGAGCCCACUUUUGUCUUCUUUCAGUUCCUUCAGGUCCCCUUAAAAUAGACAAUUGCCAGACAAAUAUAGAUGACCAGUAGCGAUAAGCGAGACUUAAGAGAGGCAACAAGCAGCAGUCCGACAGCAAAAAGAUCAUUAACAAAGUAAAUGUGCAGAUGUGCUAAUAAUAACUAAUUAAUAUCUGCUGUUGCCUUUUGGGGGCGGCUCAUAUGUUCUAUUAAACCUCCUCUAAAAAAAACAAAAACAAACAUCCUGUUGUGCAAAAAACAAAUAUCGUAUAAAAUAUAAGUGAAAUAAAUACAAAUAUUUUGUGUAUAUCAGAAAGACAUUUAAGUGUAUUCAAUGCGCCAAAGGUUUAAGGUUCAUACCGAUAUCUUAAAGCAAUCAGGGUAUCUGUAUGAGUAAAGAUUACCUUUGGUCCAGUAUGAUUACAGUUACUUUCUCUAAUACCUUAUGCCGGCAUCAUAACCUUUGUUUCAGUUGUGUCUGGUUGUAUACACAGUUUUAACUGUAGUCUAUAUUUUGGCUGUGUACGGCUUUAACAAUGCUCCAACUUCACAUGUAGAUUGCAUGCUUCCACUUCUUACACAGCGUAUGGAUCUCAAUAUUGUGCAUUUAAUAUCAGUCAUUAACACCAAAUGAUGGAACUGAUUUGUACUAAUUGUUCUAACUUAUUUUAACAAAUUAACUGUCAAGUGACAAUUUGACAUAGACUUUGUCUCAUUGUGUUGGAUUCUCAGCUGCCAUUAGGAUGUAGACCUUCGAUCAGUACGUGAACUUGUUUACGUGGGUUUUGUUUAUUAACAGGCAAACCAGUGUUUGUGUUUUGCUUUUUAUUUGUUUGUAAAAGCUGUCUGGUUGUAUUUUCCUAAGGGUUUUCAUCGUGCCGUGGGGGGCCUCCAUAGUUACUCUCAAUGAACGCGAUAAUGCCUUUUUCCCACAGCUGUCUCUUGACGGCCAUAGCUCCUCCUUUUGUCAGGUUUUGUCAAGCAGAGAUAAAAUACAUAGUCCCUACGUUGUCCUAUGAAAUUCCAACACCGUAUUUAUGAGCAUUUCAUAAGAUUUUAUCUCUUGUUAAAUGCUUAUAUUUGGGCGACAGGAGGGGGUGACGGAGCCUCAAAAACUGGAAACUGUGGGGCACGCAAAACCAAAUUGCAAAAUGUAGAACAUAAUAAUGAGUUCCAGAAUUAACAUCA